rnacentral:rRNA from 1 species
CUACGUGCCAGCAGCCGCGGUAAUACGUAGGUCCCGAGCGUUGUCCGGAUUUAUUGGGCGUAAAGCGAGCGCAGGCGGUUAGAUAAGUCUGAAGUUAAAGGCUGUGGCUUAACCAUAGUACGCUUUGGAAACUGUUUAACUUGAGUGCAAGAGGGGAGAGUGGAAUUCCAUGUGUAGCGGUGAAAUGCGUAGAUAUAUGGAGGAACACCGGUGGCGAAAGCGGCUCUCUGGCUUGUAACUGACGCUGAGGCUCGAAAGCGUGGGGAGCAAACAGGAUUAGAUACCCUGGUAGUCCACGCCGUAAACGAUGUCAAUUAGCUGUUGGGCAACUUGAUUGCUUAGUAGCGUAGCUAACGCGUGAAAUUGACCGCCUGGGGAGUACGGUCGCAAGAUUAAAACUCAAAGGAAUUGACGGGGACCCGCACAAGCGGUGGAUGAUGUGGAUUAAUUCGAUGCAACGCGAAGAACCUUACCUGGUCUUGACAU